GUCCCUGUGAAGAUCUCAAGACCUACCGAUAGGAAGUGCCGUUUGACACUGUAAACAGCAGCCGCUUCUCUCGGCUGCAGGUGUCCAUCCUUAGACCAUUACCUUUGUGGUUUGGUCUGGAUGGAACUCCCAUCUGCAGCUGUUUGAUUCAGCUGUGGUGUGUGAUUUAAAUCGGGUCUCUGAGGGAC
rfam:Dichanthelium oligosanthes cultivar Kellogg 1175 unplaced genomic scaffold Do_version_2_scaffold1322, whole genome shotgun sequence.